GGGGAUAUAGCUCAGUUGGUAGAGUGCUUGCCUGGCAUGUACAAGGCCCUGGGUUCAAUCCCUAGCACUGCCA
rfam:Ictidomys tridecemlineatus contig038613, whole genome shotgun sequence.